CCGGAUUGAGCAGUGUAAUGGAAUCGUAACUCCAAGCUGUUGACUGUUGUGGCAUGUCAUCUGCCUUCAAACCAAUAUUAUGUGAGCAUGCCUUGUUCCACACAGUCCUCUUAAUCUGCACUGAUUUGAUUCAACUGUGUGUAUAAAAAAUAGACCUUGUUGUUUUCCUGACUAUUUUUGUUUCAAAUUUGCUAGACUAAAUACGUGCGCAAAUAUCAAUGCUAGACUUGCCCAGAUUGUUUUAUGAUAACUGCAUACCAAUAGAUUAUGAUCUUGAGCUGUUAGUUAUUUGUUAAAGGUCGGGGCAAUCACAUCUGUAACUUACUAUGAGCACUAGCGGCUCACCGCAGGUAACCAGGCUGCAUUCUUGGCCUUAGUUACUUGCAGAAUAUGUGGUGCAGUGAUCUUAGUUAUGAGGUUGUGAGAUGUUAAACAAGAUUAGCAACAUCAGCCGUGAGUAUCGCUGCAUUUGCGAUAAAUUGGCUCUGUCAUGUAAAAUAAUACACCCUACUCUUGUAACUUUCAAUAGAAUGGAAACUAUAUAAGAACUACAUAAAGUGUUUUCAAUUCAGAGUGCUCUAAUGACAAUGUUUCUCCUAAUUCAAUCUGUGGAUAUGAAGAAGAAUAAUGAUUUAUCAGUAAAAAAAAGUUGGCAAUGCUCCUAAAAUGUAUUUGUCCCCGUUGCAACACAUGUGCAAUUACCUAGUUAAGAUGAAAAAGAGUUUAUUUCCUUUCUGUUUUGAUGUUUGCCUUCAUUACCAGAAUAAAAAGUAUUGCUUAUGUUAUUUAUUUCUUAUAGUGGGUACAAAAGCGCCUUCUCUUGACUUUCCUUUCAUACUUUUCCAGAGUUUCACAUACUUUAUAUUUCGCAGCACCUGAGAGACUGCAUCGUAGGAAAUUUCAGAAUGUUUUCAUAGCAUGAUUCAGAUUUAGUGUAGUGAUAGCCUGGAACUUCAUGUCAAAUAAGCACAGUGGAGUAUACUACCAACUCCAUUGACAUAUGUAUGCUCAUCAUUCCUUUUUGUUACCAUCAGUUGUUUCUUUUCACACGAUUGAUUUUGUUGCACUAUUGCAUCGUGGGAGUGAAAAAAAAAUAUAGGACUUGAUAAUGUGUACUCCCUUCCUUCCUAAAUGUAAGGCUUUUUAGAAAUUUUUAUAUGGACCACAUACGGAGCAAAAUGAGUGAAUCUACACUUUAAAAUACAGCUAUAUUCGUUCGUAUGUAGUCCAUAUUCGAAUCUCUAAAAAGACUUAUAUUUAGGAACGAAGGGAGUAGUAAGUUACUUCUAGUUUAACCUACUGGCUGUAAUAUUUUAUAUCGUGACAUAUUUUUCAUCAUGUGGCAGAUAUUGUUUUAUGGCAGCAUCUUCAACAACGAAGACAUGUGUUCUAAAGACUUUGGUGUGGAUGGGUGGAUCUAACGGCCAGGAAUGUGGGAUGACCCGUGAUUCAUGUCCGACGAGCAUUGGGCCUUGCUUGAUGGGGGCGGUGCUGAUUAUAGAGUAGCAUAGUGUUCUUCGAGAUAUGCUUGUAAAAUAAAAAAAUUUGUCAUUUUUGUUUUGCUCAUGCACAUGUAUUUUCUAGUGUGUUUACGUAUUUUUGUUUUGAAUGACAUGAGUAUAUAUUUUCUAUCAAAUUAUUAUUUGCUUAAAUUUUCAUGGACAAGAGAAA
rnacentral:lncRNA from 1 species